rnacentral:misc_RNA from 1 species
GAUGAAGAACGUAGCGAAAUGCGAUACGUAAUGUGAAUUGCAGAAUUCAGUGAAUCAUCGAAUCUUUGAACGCAUAUUGCGCUCUCUGGUAUUCCGGAGAGCAUGCUUGUUUGAGUAUCAGUAAACACCUCAACUCCCUUUUCUUUUUUGAAAUGGGAGCUGGACUUGAGUGAUCCCAACACUUUUCUCACUGGAAAGUGGCGGGUCACUUGAAAUGCAGGUGCAGCUGGACUUUUCUCUGAGCUAUAAGCAUAUCUAUUUAGUCUGCCUAAAAAACAGAUUAUUACCUUUGCUGCAGCUAACAUAAAGGAGAUUAGUUCUUGUGCUGACUGAUGCAGGAUUCACAGAGACAGCUUUGCGGCUGACUUUGUAAACUCGAUCUCAAAUCAAGUAAGACUACCCGCUGAACUUAAGCAUAUCAAUAAGCGGAGGA